UACGGAGGGUGCAAGCGUUAUCCGGAUUCACUGGGUUUAAAGGGUGCGUAGGCGGAUAAGUAAGUCAGUGGUGAAAUCUCCGAGCUUAACUCGGAAACUGCCGUUGAUACUAUUUGUCUUGAAUAUUGUGGAGGUAAGCGGAAUAUGUCAUGUAGCGGUGAAAUGACUUAGAUAUGACAUAGAACACCAAUUGCGAAGGCAGCUUACUACACAAUGAUUGACGCUGAGGCACGAAAGCGUGGGGAUCAAACAGG
rnacentral:rRNA from 1 species